AUGGUGAGGCAAUGGUUCUCCGGCCGCAAGACGAGGCACGACCAUGAGGCCGGGUCGUCGUCCGGUCGCCGUUGCCGCCCCUCCACCCCGCCUCCACCUCCACCUCCACCGCUCACGUUUCAUAUCGCGUCGGGCGGCGUCCCACCUCGCCAGCGACCGCAUGUCAAGGCAGAGGUGUGCCUGCGCUACUGGGAGACGCGCACACCGUUGUUGUGGGGCGACGUGCUCCUCCCCAACAACUGGCACCUCUUCGCGGAUCGCGUUCCAGUCCCAUCGGUCCCGGUGAGCAGCCACGCCCGCCGGGAGGAGAACCAUCGUCGUCGGGCCCGCCUGCCCCCAGACCUCAUCGACGACUCGAGGUACGCCGUGGGCUCGCCGCUGUGGGAUACGUGGCUCCGCAACGAGCACGACAUCCGGCGGCAGUCCUACUUUGUAGGCCGUCCGCAGAGCCUGCGGCGCCCGUGCGUUGACAUCCGGCGGCAGUCCUACUUUGUAGGCUGGGAGUGUGCCCUAGGCGCGCGGCCACAGGUAGUUGUUUUUAAUGUUUUAUUUGGGGUUUUGGGGUUUUAUUUUCGCGUCCAAACAAAUUUACUGUUUGGGGUGCGGCCGACCCGUUGGGUGCACCGACGCCCGCACGACCGGUCCAGGCAAGAUUGUCUUGGCAGCCUAGUAGUUAGCACGCCGAUGCAGUUCAUACGGCCAUGCCAGUUGGCCCUCUGCCUCGGUGCUGUCUACGUGAUUACCGCCAUCAUCACACUGGCUGCCAGCGACCGCUUGACUACGGAGAACAUGGAGUGUCGCCCUACGCAAAUAAAUAGGUCACACCCAUCAUGGGCAGCUCUCCAGCCAACUCCGACCAAGGCUUCUAAUUUGUUCCACACCGGAAGAGCAUGUAGAAGAGACGCUUCUGAUUUCUCCCAAUCGAUCGGUGUUUCCAACCUAUGGAUCGCCUGGUAUUUUGUUGGUUUUUGUGUUAGAGAAAACGGAUGGAGAGGUGGGGCAACUGGGCUGGUUUUUCCUUUCGGGGGAAACGGAGGCUGCGGGCGGGUAAAAUUUUAUGGGAAGAGCAAGUCUCUAGCAGAUCUCGCAAGUCGGGUCAUCCGGUAUAAUAACUGCCAGUUUGCGGGUUUGAUCCUGUAUACCCGUCACGAACGGUUCCUCCAAAUCCACAUGUCCCACAAAAAAAAUUAUGGGAUCCCGAAUCGGCGAGCCCAUUUCCUUCAUAUGCGCGGGAUUUCACCCGGAUUUGCCAGCCCCCCUUUCCCUUGGUGCGGACCCACUUUCGCCGGCUUCAGUUCUCGCCUCCAGUCCCCGCCGCCGCCACACAUCCCCGUUCCUAGUUGCUGCACCCGGCUGCUGCGCGCCGCCCCGUGCCACAUCCAUUCCACCUUGUUUUGGCGGAUGUGGUUGGUUCCGGCGCCGGUGAGCCUCGAAAUCGAUGGCGCUCGCCCGCACGCGUCGGAGGAAGAGGGUGGCGCGGAUUUGUUUUGGCCGGCGGGGAGUAGAAAGGGGCGGCAUGGCGAGGCUUUGCGUAGCCCGGCGGGGGAUAAGAAGAGCGCGACGCGGCGCGGCUUUGCUUCAGACGGCAAGAUGGAUUGGAGUUCGUCCUCGUCGUCUUCAUCCGAUGAUUCGGACAUAGAAGAGAUGAUCCUCACCGAUGAUGUGGACAACCUAGUGUUGUUGCAUCUCGUGGACGAAUUUGAGGCUGGGCCAAAGAAAACGCUGCGCGGAUUCACGGUCGGCCAGCUAUGCAUUCCCCGCAACCGAGCUCUCGAUGACAAGAUGCUCAUGAAAGGCUACUUCGUCGAGCCCACGGAGGCUGGGCACACGGGAAUAGGGAGGAGGUGCGCACGACCGCCAGCACUGACCAUGUCGGAGCCUGCCCCGGUGAUCAGGCGGAUCCACAACGAGCUGAAACAGCUUUGGAUCGACCCGACGGCGUUCUACCGGCCCGGCGCGUCACCCGUGACGGACGGUGAUCCUCGACGACCCCCAUGGCAGCCCCUACGUCGGCGGCACAUUCCCCAUCAACGUCGCGUACCCCAAGGACUACGCCUUCAAGCCCAUCAAGCUCACCUUCAAAACCAAGGGGAGUCGGCACUGGCCUCUAGCUGUAGAGACUGUUUUUGA
rnacentral:rRNA from 1 species